UCCAAUCAAACCGUUGAAGAAGAGGAAACGCCCUUUUGAAGGAACCGAAGAAGAGGCAAAAACAGGGCGGAAGAGCAAAGAAAAAAAAACAAAAACAGAGGAGAAGAAGAAGAAGAAGAAGAAGGCCUCUGCUGGAAGCUUGUCGCAUAUUAGAAGGCAUAUUAGAAGACAUGAGACGACACCAACAACAACUAGUCGUUCUACUUUUAUGUUAUAGUUUUUAUUGGUUCAUACGUCGUAGACAACGUCGACGACAACUUAUGCAUCGAUCAAUUGGUAAUGAUAGAGCAACAGGAGAAGGAUCGAUGACAGCGAAAGAGAGGCGCAACCGAAUGACUUUAGCGUGUGAGGGUACUGGCAACACAAUCCAGCUUAUCGAUGAAAUGGUUUCGCAAAAUCAAGCAGUAUUAGAACCAUUUAUCAACGUAGGAGACGACUGUGAAGGCCAAGUGGGGCCCCCCACAGGUUCAUUGUCAAAGCGUAAAAGGAGAAGAAGUGCAAAUGAAGAUGAUUUAAAAGAGAUUGAAAUAAUGAAAGAAUCAUUUGACAAAAUUGCUAAUGCAAUUGGAAAAAGUGAUGUCGUACCAAAGCCGAAACAAGAAUGUAAAUAUUCUAAAGAAGACAUAUUUCCAGCAUUUGAAGAGAUUGGUCUUGAAGAAGAGUUACAAACUGAGGCAUAUAUUUAUCUUACUGGUGAUAAAGAUAGGAUAGAAACAUUUUUUGCUUGUCCUUCUUCUAAGCGAAAGGAUGUUUUACUUAGGUUGCUUAGCAUUGCUGGAAUUAUAUAAGACAAGAAUGUAAUUUUUAAUUUUGCUUUGUGAUUUUUUUUGUCUUUAGACAACUAUUUUGUUUACCAACAUUUUGUUUGAUUGAUCUAAAGUUAUUACUUAAGAGGAUA